UAGAAGCUGCCUGCCCCAACCGCACAUCCGAGCUCCGCGCCCAUGGCGAGUCAUGAUGACUCGACGGCGCUGGCUCGGGCGUGCGGGUGGGGUUGGUGCAGCGACCUCCGGCUCGGGCUGAGAUCACACCCUCAACACCUGCGGAGUGGCGGGGGGCUGGGGCGCGCGGGUGCAGUCAUUGCUGGGACUGCCCGCGCCCCGCCCCUCGUCACUCAGUCCACUGCUUCGGCGGUGGACUUCCGUUAACACGGGAACAGGGAAUGCGCAGAGAGGCCGUAGCGCUUGCACAGGAAGAGGCUGGGAGCAACCGAACGCCCUCUAGGCGAUGCGCCGAACUAAUCUGUCGGUGUGUCGCAAGGGUU
rnacentral:lncRNA from 1 species